AUUGAACGCUGGCGGCAGGCCUAACACAUGCAAGUCGAACGGUAACAGGAAACAGCUUGCUGUUUCGCUGACGAGUGGCGGACGGGUGAGUAAUGUCUGGGAAACUGCCUGAUGGAGGGGGAUAACUACUGGAAACGGUAGCUAAUACCGCAUAACGUCGCAAGACCAAAGAGGGGGACCCUCGGGCCUCUUGCCAUCGGAUGUGCCCAGAUGGGAUUAGCUUGUUGGUGGGGUAACGGCUCACCAAGGCGACGAUCCCUAGCUGGUCUGAGAGGAUGACCAGCCACACUGGAACUGAGACACGGUCCAGACUCCUACGGGAGGCAGCAGUGGGGAAUAUUGCACAAUGGGCGCAAGCCGGAUGCAGCCAUGCCGCGUGUAUGAAGAAGGCCUUCGGGUUGUAAAGUACUUUCAGCGGGGAGGAAGGGAGUAAAGUUAAUACCUUUGCUCAUUGACGUUACCCGCAGAAGAAGCACCGGCUAACUCCGUG
rnacentral:rRNA from 1 species